GGCUCGUUGGUCUAGGGGUAUGAUUCUCGCUUUGGGUGUGAGCGGUCCUGUUUUCGACUCCAAGUCGAGCCC
rnacentral:tRNA from 1 species